GGCUGUAAGGGGUAGGCUGCCUCCCCUGGUUCUGCCUUCGGUGAAUCUGCACCGUCCGUUCGGUUCGGCAAAUCUACACCGUCCGCCCCCCACGCCCACGUUCGUUCCCCCACCUCCCCACCCCCACCCCGCGUGAGCCGCCGCCGCCCUGCCUCCCACCUCCAGUCCGCCGCUCUCCCACGGAUCGUGCUCCCUCCCCAUGCCCUCCUUCUUACUCCUUACCGCGGAGUCCGAGGCCACUCGUGGCCUUCGGUGCCUCCUCCGCAUCGGCGACCUCGCCUGACACGGCUGCCGUCUCUCAGUCGGCCUCUCUUCACCCUUCGGCCUGUUGAACGUGCGUACUCUAGGAUCAUUCUUUGGAUUACUCUGACCGCCGGUGUUGUUGACCGCUGAAGCUCCCGUGCAUUGCUGAGUCAAUUUGACUCCGUAUGCCGGCCAGAGACUUCAGGAAGACUGAAACAUUAGCAUUGGUGGUAAGAGGAAAAGAUGGCCAUGCCAAGAGUUCCAGGGCAGCAGCUCCUGACGCCAAGGAGUAUGACGAAUACGAGGAGGAGCACACCGAGCCUUUUGCGGAAGCUGCGACGACCUUUACAUUGGCAGCAACUAAAUAAUGGACUGAGUUAGCUGACAAUAGGCCAUUUGAUUCUAUCCCAUGUUUGGUGCAUGUAGUGUAUCAUGUUUCGUUUACCAUCUCUAUUGUCAUGAUCAGAGCUCUGGCUAUCUUUUCAAGACCAUGCUGAGUGUACAGAACUUGGACAAUCUUUGGCGGACUUCGGAAAGGCGAUUAAGCUUUUGGGCUCUUGUGAAGGAGAUUUGAUGGAAAAGGUGUUUUCUGAAGUUGGUUCAAAGUCAGAGAUGUUGUCAAUAAAGCUGCAAAGAGAGGCAAUCAGAGCAGAUGGACAGACACAAUUGAGCCAUGAAAUAGCUUUGGAGCUAAGUCAGAGGAGUGCUGCUGCUGGACUAAGGCCGAUUGGAGCAGUGGUCUUCAUGCAACGGGGUGUCCUGAAGGUUUGCUUGAGGACUACUGACAGUACAGUUAAUACAUCAGAGAUUGCAAAGGCAUAUGGCGGAGGUGGAAAACGAAGUUCGAGUUCAUUCACUCUAAGAAUGGAUGAGUUCAACAUCUGGACUUCAGUGAACUCAUGAAUUGAACUGGAGAGGUCACAUAGUGUUCAUACUGUGGGAACUCGCAACCAGCUCAUCUGGGCAUGGAUUCCCUCAGUGGUGAACAUGUGAAGAUGGGGUGGUCUUUUUGUGCUCCGGUAUGAGAGGAAGGAAAACAAAAUCUUAGUCUAACCUACCAUGUUGAUAUGAGCUUACAGGAGAAUAAUCUCUUCGAUAUGAAUGACUGGAGAGCAAUUUGGAGGCAUAAUGCUUAAGCCGUUCAAGAGAAGAUUUGAUGCCUUUAAAUGAAAGUCCGACGUCCGAGAGGGGCUCGCCAUUGGGCUUGGCAUGGGCACAGUCAUGCUGCUCCUCUUCUGCGGCUACUCGCUGGUGAUUUGAUAUGGCUCUAAGCUGAUCCUGGAGAUGGUGUACACCGGAGCCAAGGUCACAACAUGAUCUUUGUAGUCCUCACUGGUUCUCUUUUCUCAAAUUGACCAUGGUGUUGUAAAUUUGAUCAAUGAAGAAGAUUCAAGAAUUACCGUUUUACUGGAUUGCCAUGGGAUUUCGCCAUUCAGAUUUCCAAUGCAAAUGAUGAGGUCGUUUAUCACUGUGGUUCAAGAAAACUACCCGAAUCGUCUUGGGGUAUUGUUUGUCAUCCGCCUUCCUCCAGUUGUCAGAGUUAUUGCACAGACAUUUCUUCAAAUUGCAAUAUCACAUGGUAUCCGUGGAGAUGAGGACGACAUUGCCUCCAAGUCUGCUCCACCGGCAUCCAUCGACGGUGCAAGAUCCAGCAGAUAGAUUGAUGGCAAAGAGGACGACUCCAUGUCCAGGCGUACUCCCCGCCUUGCAUCGAGAUUGCUAGGUCAUAAUCGAAGGGUUUACAGGGAGGAGAUCUGAACAUAGCUCUUCAAUCCCAAAGUUAACAUCGUUGGUUACCAUAAUUCUUACUGCUUGCAAGCCCUUUUAGAAUAUUACUGCUGCGAGGUUCUUGCAAGUCCUUGAUGAAGAAGUCGAAGGUGACGAACGCCGAGGCCGUCAUCCUGAUCGACGCCAAGAACCUCACAGCGCACCUCCUUGUGAUGCUCUUUUCUCCAAUGUCUUCUCUUAUCUACAUGCAGGAAAAAAUCUACAUGUUGAUGGCGUGGAUCAGAAAAAUGUGGAAGGACAAGAUUUAAGAUGCACUGCCAUGGUUGGCGGUCUAUUUACUGCAUCUCGAAGCGGCUUGCAUUCAAAGGUUCUGCACCUCUAAAUAUUUCUGGUCGUGAAGCUGUCUAUGAAAGGAAGAUGAAAAUUCAGCAAGACUAUAUUGUACAUGACCUUGAAGGAGCUGACCAUGUGACAGACCUUGAUCAUAACCAUGUUGCAGAGUUGAAGAUAUUAGGACUAUAUUAAACAUUGCUGCAUAUAGCAUCAGGAUAUGAUGACAUCAGACUUAGAAGUCAAACAACAUCAAACUUAUCAUCAGCAACAACUUGGUUUCCGUCGCUGCCCAAACUUCAGCAGAGGCGAUCUAAGAAGAAGCAAGCGUAUCGGCUCAUGUUCUGACGGCCGUGUUCACGUGGUGUAAGAUCUGCAUUGUGGAAUCCUUCGCCCGGACAAGAGAGAUUGGAUCCUCCCGUCCAGACAACCUGAUAGAACGACAGUGUAUAAGAACAGGGCUCUUAGGACGCCUUUUGUCAAGUUGGGUCAUAACUCUACCCUGAGAAUUGAGAUAGAUGAUCAUGUGGUGCAAGAUAUUGAGUCCCUAAUCUUUGAUGACACACAUAACAAAUGGUAAGCGUCUCCGUGGAUGGAGCCUGAAGUAUAUUCAAAUUCAAGGCAUGCCACAAAGCAUCUCGCGUGUGGGAUGCUCCGGCGUGUGGAAAGUAGAAAAGCCAAAUAAAUGGGUACAUGUACAGCAGGCGUGAGUUCUUAAAUACUCAGAUUCCUUGUCCAUAGGCAAAUGCAUAGUUCAUACGAAUCAGAGUACACGAUGCACACAACUUGAUGUCUCUAUCGUUGUUUUCAACAUGAUGAACAUGCGAAUUUCGUGGUAUUAAUUGGGACCGUCUGAUUUCUCA